UGAUAAUAGUCUCACGGAAGUGAAGAUCUGUCAUUUCCCAAUGAUAGGAACUGAGAUUUCAGGUCAGUUGAUGUAUGGUAUCUCUUUCUCCCUUCUUGUGAAUUCUUUGCUCCUGGAAUAGCAGUCAGGAAAAUAGAUGCACAGAAGAAAAGCUUUAGACGACAAGGUGCUGGCAUGUUGGGAAUCAUAGUGUGGUUUUCCUUUUGGUGAGGUACACAAGGGACAAGAAUGAACCCAUGAGGCUGGAACUGUGUCACUGGCUGAAGUCUGCAAAGCUUCAUGGUGCAAGAGAAAGCAGUGAUGAAUGCGUGAUGGAUCCUUCAACAGUACGGUUUGUUGCUGUUAUUGGGGAGGAAAAUUCAAGAUUGAAUUAUUCUGAGAUGAAGCAAACCUUGUUUCAGCCAUAAUGCUCUCUCAACCAACCCUUGUGAUUUAAAAAAAAAAAAAACAAACACACCAUAACAAAACCCUUUCCUUUCAUCAUCUUGGAAUAACACAACUGCAUUGUUACAAGAUCACUAUAUCACUUAUCACUUCUUGACAUUCCCAAGACAAGAUAUAGGAAAGCUAUUCUAACCAGAACUUACUGUACCCAGCACUUCAGUUCUUACUGUAGGGCCUUAUGACUUCGUCUAGUGGCAGUUGUCUCUGUCCCCAGUGCUAGCUAAGACAGCAGUCAUAUUAUGGUAAUGACUCAUCUCCAAAGAGAAGUGAUAGAGACUUUAUUCCCAUUGGAAAAUGCUAAUUUGCUAUAUGUAAACCACUUCAUUGAAACAUGCUGCCUCUUAUGUCAGAACUGAAAGAACUUCAAAAACUGAAAUAAAAUCAGAAAACGGGGCCAAAACAUUAUAUCUGUGGCAUUUUAAAUGGAAUGAUUUGAUCUUUCAUUCCUUUUGGUUCCUUAUUUAUUUACUUAUUUAUAGGAAAACAUAAACCAAGCCUGAAGGAUAAGUCUGACCCAUGUCAAAAAGGAAUUUUUCCUACCCCUAUUUUUUUCCAUCACAAUUUAAGUGGUGAGUUUUUUUCUAAGUAUUAGCUUUGUAAAUUCAAACUUGGUAGAUUCACCGCAAAAUAAAUUAAAAAUAACAAUAUUUCAGACCUAUGUUCACCAAAACUUGGACCUGAAACAGGCAACUAUUCCAGGGAUGGGUUAUUUUUCCCUUUUAAUUAGACUUUGUUCCAAAGUAACUUUAAGUUUUUCUUGUUUCUGCACACCUAUGUUAAAUUUCCUAUCAACUUGUCUGAAGCAGCAAGGAAAAAUGAAUAUGUUCUUUCAAACAUUUAACCAUCUGUAUGUAUGAGAGAAUGGCAAUUGUCCAGAAGACAAUGCUGCAUAACAUUUAUUUUAAAAUAAAAGGUUCAUCUUUUCCUUUGGAAGAUUAAAAAUCUCUCGAUUCUACAGAAAUGAACCCUUUCAUCCAUGGCAUACAUACCAAAAAUAGGUAUUUCAGCACAAUAUUAAGUUCAA